rnacentral:tRNA from 2 species
GUGUUUUUAGUAUAUUAAGUACACCUACCUUCCAAGUAGGAAGAUUAGCUGGUUAAAAAACACA